GUUUUUAUUUAUGCUGUAGCCAAAAUAGUUAACAGGACACUGAUUUUUUCCAGAAGGACUUCUACCGUAUGGAGAAAUGGGCAGAGGAACCUCAUGAAGUUCAAUAAAGAUGUCCAGAUGACAAUGUGUUGAUCCCUCUGUGCGCUGGACACCGUGGUGGAUCGUACACUGAUGUUACCAGCUCUGCGGGGGAUUUCUGAGCAAGUGCAGCAACAUCUCACACCCUGUUCAUACGAAGACAUAUGCAACAGUGAUAUUGGCAAGAUUUAGCCCUAUUUCACAGCAUUUGGCACUCUAAUGACCACACUGAAGAUGAUUAGCUGUCUUGUCUUUAAAAGGAGACUGCUUUCUAAUUGCUUCCUAAAAAAAGUGUUAAACGUGGACUCUAUUUGG